UACGUAGGGUGCAAGCGUUACUCGGAAUUACUGGGCGUAAAGCGUGCGCAGGCGGUCGUGCAAGACAGAUGUGAAAUCCCCGGGCUUAACCUGGGAACUGCAUUUGUGACUGCACGGCUGGAGUGCGGCAGAGGGGGAUGGAAUUCCGCGUGUAGCAGUGAAAUGCGUAGAUAUGCGGAGGAACACCGAUGGCGAAGGCAAUCCCCUGGGCCUGCACUGACGCUCAUGCACGAAAGCGUGGGGAGCAAACAGG
rnacentral:rRNA from 1 species